AGUUGUCACUUUUAAUGAGCUCGUCUACUGCUACAAGGAAACUCAUUCCUUUUCAAUACUUCUCUACAAGCCUUUCAUGUUGUCCUGAAAAUUGGCACAGUCCAUGGAUGGUGGGGGUGGGUUGGAGAUGUUUGAUCCCACUGGCCUGGAACAGGCCCUGCUGAUCCUUAGGACCAUGUUGCCCUAGUGCAAGAGCAGCCCACAGAUCAUUUCUUGAGGGCAGGAAUGCAUAACAUCCUCUAUCUGCCUUCCAAUCAAGCAGGACUUCCACUUCCCACUCGUCAUUUUCUGCUAGAAUAAACACCAAAGCCAGCUGGGAGCAGAAAACUCCGUGACGGGGAAAUCAAUAGGGAAGAAGAGAUGACUCUUCGGUGAAGCUCCAGGAAAAAUACAUUUAUGCUGCAGUGUUAUUAAAAAAAGUGAAUAGUCUCUUAAUUAUUUUACUGAAGUUACACCUUGGGGA